rnacentral:misc_RNA from 1 species
GUACAAUCAACUGCCGGGUGCAAAUCCUAUGAUUUCCCACGGACGCUGAAGUUUAGUUUCAAGAAUGACCCAAUACAAUAGCUUAACAAAAUUCAUCCUGAAGAGAACUUGAUGACUUCCCCAUCUUCAUACAAGGAGAAAAGAAAAGGAGGGGUCUAUCUACAGUGUUUGCUAAGAAACUAGGAAUACCAACAAAAUGUCUUGGAUGGUUGAUCCAGUACAUCUCUGUAUCUUU